GACCGUACCGCAAACCGACACUGGUGGGCGAGCUGAAUAUGCUCAGGCGCUUGAGAGAACUCAGGAGAAGGAACUCGGCAAAUUGACACCGUAACUUCGGGAUAAGGUGUGCCUUUGUAGCGUGGAGGGAGAAACACCCCGAGCGCGAAGAGGUCUCAGAUAAUCGGUGGCUGCGACUGUUUAUUAAAAACACAGCACUCUGCAAAGACGAAAGUCGACGUAUAGGGUGUGAUGCCUGCCCGGUGCUGGAAGAUUAAUUGAUGGGGUGCAAGCUCCUGAUCGAAGUCCCAGUAAACGGCGGCCGUAACUAUAACGGUCCUAAGGUAGCGAAAUUCCUUGUCGGGCAAGUUCCGACCUGCACGAAUGGCAUAACGAUGGCCACACUGUCUCCUCCUGAGACUCAGUGAAGUUGAAGUGUUUGUGAUGAUGCAAUCUCCCCGCGGCUAGACGGAAAGACCCCAUGAACCUUUACUGUAGCUUUGCAUUGGACUUUGAACCGAUCUGUGUAGGAUAGGCGGGAGCCUGUGAAACCACAACGCCAGUUGUGGCGGAGGCGUCCUUGAAAUACCGCCCUGAUUUGUUUGAGGUUCUAACCUGGGACAGUCAUCCUGUCCGGGGACCGUGCAUGGUAGGCAGUUUGACUGGGGCGGUCUCCUCCUAAAGGGUAACGGAGGAGUGCGAAGGUACGCUAGGUACGGUCGGAAAUCGUGCUGAUAGUGCAAUGGCAAAAGCGUGCUUGACUGCGAGACCCACAAGUCGAGCAGAUACGAAAGUAGGUCAUAGUGAUCCGGUGGCUCUGUAUGGAAGGGCCAUCGCUCAACGGAUAAAAGGUACUCUGGGGAUAACAGGCUGAUACCGCCCAAGAGUUCAUAUCGACGGCGGUGUUUGGCACCUCGAUGUCGGCUCAUCUCAUCCUGGGGCUGUAGCCGGUCCCAAGGGUAUGGCUGUUCGCCAUUUAAAGAGGUACGUGAGCUGGGUUUAAAACGUCGUGAGACAGUUUUGUCCCUAUCUGCCGUGGGCGCUGGAAGAUUGACGGGGGCUGCUCCUAGUACGAGAGGACCGGAGUGGACUCACCUCUGGUGUACCGGUUGUCACGCCAGUGGCAUCGCCGGGUAGCUAUGUGGGGAAAGGAUAACCGCUGAAAGCAUCUAAGCGGGAAACCUGCCUGAAGAUAAGUCUUCCUGGAGGCUAGACCUCCCUAAAGAGUCGUUCGAGACCAGGACGUUGAUAGGAUGGGUGUGUAAGUGCUGUGAGGCACUCAGCUAACCAUUACUAAUUGCUCGUGAAGCUUGAUCC
rnacentral:rRNA from 1 species